GGGCCCGCACAAGCGGUGGAGUAUGUGGUUUAAUUCGAUGCAACGCGAAGAACCUUACCAGGGUUUGACAUCCUGCGAAUCUCUUGGAAACGAGAGAGUGCCUUCGGGAGCGCAGUGACAGGUGGUGCAUGGCUGUCGUCAGCUCGUGUCGUGAGAUGUUGGGUUAAGUCCCGCAACGAGCGCAACCCACGUCUUUAGUUGCCAGCAUUCAGUUGGGCACUCUAGAGAGACCGCCGGUGAUAAACCGGAGGAAGGUGUGGAUGACGUCAAGUCAUCAUGCCCCUUACGUCCUGGGCUACACACGUACUACAAUGCUACGGACAAAGAGCAGCAAGUUCGCGAGGACAAGCAAAUCUCAUAAACCGUGGCUCAGUUCAGAUCGUAGGCUGCAACUCGCCUACGUGAAGGAGGAAUCGCUAGUAAUCGCAGGUC
rnacentral:rRNA from 1 species